GUUGUUGGCUUCAAUAUGAUUUGGCAGUGUAAGUUGUGUUCAGCUUCUUCUACUGAACGACUGCAAAUAUUUAAGCACUACAGACUGCAGCAUAGCCACUUUUCCAGUGUAUGCCCCCUUCCAUGCAUCUACAAUUAUUGCAUGUGUACAUUUAAGACUUUUAAUAGUCUUAGAACUCAUUUGGCAAGAUGUCACACUCACCAAUUUGGCAGUAGUGCAGAACACUGUCAGCAGUCUCUGUUGUUUAAAUGCCCUUUAUGCCCAUUUCAGCAGCAUUUUUCUGAAUCUGUUGUCUUCUGCCAUCUUAGAAGGCAUUUAAGAAAUCAUGAAACAGUGGCUUGCCCAUAUAAGGAUUGCAGCUUUACCACUAAUGUGUACUCUACAUUCAAUUCUCAUAAAAGUAGAUCACACCAAGCAAGUGUUUCGUCAGACUUUAAAAAUGACAUUGUCAGUGAAGUUGCUCAACCCAGUAUUCCUGCAGUUGAUGGUGAUUUGAAUGAAGAACCUUCAGGUAUAGAUGAGGAUCCAUUGGGGGAUGAUGGUGUGUGUGACACUGACAAACUAAAACAAGAUCUCAGAAUGAAUUUAUCUUCCUUAUUUCUAAAGAUGCAGGCAAUCCUCCAUGUCUCAAACACAGCUACCCAGGAAAUAGUGGAGCAUUUAAAUCAGGUCUGCUUCUUAUCGCAGCCUUUGAUCAAGAAGGAAAUUCAAGAUAUAUUGCAGAGAAAUGGUUGCAAUUUGGCAGAAUCUGCACUGGAUGAGGUUGUAAGUGGAGUUAUGGACUCUAAUGUUAUAUUUACUAGUACUUCUAAUUGUGCAGAGUUAUCCACAUCGAAGCGCAGAAAAAUCUUUUUUGAGCACAACUAUCCAUGUGUAAUGCCAAUUGAGUAUCAGCUGGAGCAACUUGGACAUUCCAAAAUGUAUGUUCCUAUCCUUCGAAUGAUUCAGGAGUUGUUUAAGAACACAGACAUUCUAAAAAUAAUUACUGAUCCAAAUACCAAUUCUGGUCAAUAUGCAUCAUGUUGCAAUGGCUCUUAUUUCCUUGAAAAUGAAUUAUUUUCAACCGGUGAUCUCAUUUUACCCCUCCAGCUAUAUAUUGAUGAUCUUGAAAUUGCCAACCCACUUGGCACAUCACGUAAAAUUCACAAACUUUGUGCUGUUUACUGGGCAUUUGCCAAUAUGCCACCAAAACACAGAUCAACUUUACACAAUAUACAGCUAGCAUUGCUUGCAAAAGUGACAGACAUCCAUAAGCAUGGGUAUGCAGCUGUACUUGCUCCAUUAUUACGUGAUGUUCAUAUUCUUGAACAGGAUGGUGUCUUUAUUGAAAGAGCUGGUCGCAAUGUCAAAGGUACCAUCUUUUGUGUUUCUGCUGACAAUCUAGCCGCCCAUGGAUUAAGUGGCUUUGUGGAGUCAUUUAAAGAAGGCUAUGUUUGCAGAUUCUGCUUGGCCACAAGAGAACAGUUUAAAGCAACUGAAGCCAGGCAGUUUUCUCAAAGAACCAAAGACAGCCAUGACCUUCAUGUACAAAACCUUCUGGAAAGUGACACUUGCUCCAACCACUUUGGUGUUAAAGCUAGUUGUGUCUUGCGUGACUCCCUGGAUUACUUUCAUCCAAUCACAGGCUUUCCUCCAGAUGUACUUCAUGAUCUUCUGGAAGGAAUAGUUCCUGUGGAGCUUUCUCUCUGCAUUAAGACUAUGAUCCGGAUGAAGUACUUCACUUUAGAGUAUUUGAACCAAAAGAUUGCAUCAUUCCCAUAUCAGCACACUGAUAAAGUGGAUAGACCUCAUCCAAUUCCCAAAACAUUUUUGUCUCGAGGAACGAUAGGAGGGAAUGGACAUGAAAAUGCUACUCUGCUCCGACUGCUUCCAUUACUUGUAGGCAGUGUAGUACCAGAAGGUGAUGGUGCAUGGACAGUUUUGAUGGAACUGAAAGAGGUAGUGCAGUUAGCAUUAUGCCCAUCAUUUACUGAUGAAACCUUAGACUAUUUUCAGUCCAAAAUCAGUGAUCAUAAGCAAGUACUUCUGCAAACGUUCCCAGAGUUUAACCUUCGUCCUAAACAUCACUACGUGGAGCAUUACCCCACCAUGAUCAAGUGCUUUGGGCCCCUGGUGCAUGUUUGGACAAUGCGAUUUGAGGCCAAACACCGUUUUUUUAAACGAGUGGUGCAUGACGCUCAAAACUUCAAAAAUAUUUUGAAGACAAUGGCAGUCAGACACCAACACAUGAUGGCAUACAAUCUUGCUGCCCCUUCAUUUUUCAACCCUGAAACACAAGCGUCCAGUGUUGACUCUGUUCUGGUUUCAGCUCUACCAGAAGUAGCUCAGCUGCACAUCAGAAGACUAACAACUAGUGACACAAUAUACCAGACAUCAAAGGUUACCAUCAAUGGCACAGACUAUGUCUGUGGAAUGUUUUUGUCUGUCGGAGAGAGUGGUGGACUACCUAGGUUUUGCAGAGUAGAACACAUUUACCUUGUCAAUAGCACCAUUUCAUUCCUUUGUUCUGAUUGUGAGUCCUGGUUUUCAGAACAUCUUGGAUCCUAUGAGCUCUCACCUUCACAGACAAGUCUGUCAAUCCACCUAAGGUCUGACUUAAACGAUUCAGUCCCUCUCUCUGCAUACGAGGUAGAAGGCUCGCUUCUGUUGACACCCAAGAGAUUCAUACAAAUAAAACAAGCCAGUGCAUAAUGGCAGCUUUAUCUCCACAAGCCAUGAUCCUUCGUGUUGUUGAGCCAGACCGGGCUAGAAAAUUAAAACUUAGUUCACGACCAGCCUCUGUUGAUGCACUGAUUGCUGUUAUAAAAGAACAGCUGGAAAUAGACCUUGACUUCAGUUUAAAAUAUGAAGACCCUGACUUUGAUGGAAAACUUACUUCCCUCUCUGACAUUGAUGAGUUGCCACAGAAAGCUGUUGUGCAUGUGUCAUUUGAGCAAGAUUCCAGCUCUGUUGCAUCAACAGAAACAAUGUCAAGUGUAUCAUCCUCAGAACGUGGGAGAAGAUGGCCUUCACAUAUUUUUCCAAUUCCCACAUUUUCUUUUGACGUUGAACUGAGACUUCGGGAAGGUAAUGCCGAAUUUGAGAAGAACAACAAGCAACUUCAGUUAACUAGAGACAUAAAACAUGACAUUUUAGAAAAGCUAGCAUCUGUGAUGUAUGGCUACAAGGCUUAUCCCAGUGAUAAGGAGAUAGCAAUGGUAGCUGAGGCUCUUGUGGUAAAACAUCCUUGCUUGAAAGAAGCAGGAUCUCAGACUGGCUGGAAUGGGUGGAAAAAUAGCCUCAAAUUUAAGAUGGGGAACUAUAGGAGCAAGAUGAGAAGGGCUGGAUGUCCAGAGAUCACUGUAAAUGCUGGAAAAAGGAGUGCAAUGAAUCCUGACAAUGAAUCUUCACAUUCAAAUAUUAAAAGACCCAAACGAGCAGAAGUAAACUUUUUGCCCAACUUUCCCCAAGGAGAAAAUCCCUCAACUCUUGAACAGUUGAGACAGAAAAUUGUUGAUGAAAUGAAGAAAGCUGAGAAGAACUUACCACUUAUAAAAAAGAUGAUGCAAACCACCUUUGCUCUGCGGCGACAGACCAUAGUGAAGACAUGCCCACCAGUAAAAGAGCUCAUGGAACUCUGGCCUGCACUCAAAAUGGAAUCUGAGGUAAUGUGGGGUAACACUGUUUGUCCUGUUAUUGCUUUCUUGAUAACGUACCACAUUCAGGGGCUGUUUUCUGUGAGGGGGUAGUAGAUUAACCAGGUUCACAUAAUGAACAUGGCUGUGUUCUCUGUCUUUCAUUGUUUUAAAAUGUAGGUGUAAGCAGAGUUCCAACGGAUUACAAACGAGAACCUGCCCAACACAUUCUACUCUGAGCUUGACCGACAUCUUCCUAGACUGAUGACCCUGUUCAGACAGAAAGCAUCCAGAACCGGGAAGACAUCAGAUACUUUAACUGAAAUCCUAAGAAUCCAUGAUGACCAGGUAAAGAUAUUGUUGUACAUUUUUGUAGGCUAAAACUUAAUUAAAAUAUUAAAGUUUGAAAACAUUAGAAAAUGUUGAUGAUUCAAAUGAGCUUUGAACACUACAACUUGUCCUUUUUUUUUUUUUUUUUUUGUAUUUGCAUAUCUGAUUGUAU
rnacentral:lncRNA from 1 species